ensembl:lncRNA
AAAUCAGGGGCUGCAAGCACCGGGGCAGUACACAGGAGUAGCUUCGCGGAAUUGAACGAAUGCUCACAUUCCGGAGACCACUUAAACGGAACCUUGGGUGACAAAAGUGAAGACAGGGGGGCUACCACCGUCGAAAAGUUUUUGCAAAACGUACGGUAAUAACCCACCAUACCUAGGAAACGGCGAAGCUCACGGCGCGUAACAGGGGCAGGGAAACUAGCUAUGGCUUCCACCUUGCUAGCUAACAACCGAACCUGCCCAUGUCCCACCUGUUUUCCAAGGUACGCCCCCGCCUGCAGCGCAACAGUGGCCACUGAAGAGACAGCGGGCUGGAUGGGCUUAGUGGAGAGAGUGUUAGAAGGACCUCGUGUACGCAAACAACACAAAUGGCACUCCCUCAUCCCAGUUUGGAUUAUCCAUACAGUAUUUUCGGAGCAUCGAUUUGAGGGUCUGGUGCCACCGCUCGAGUGCUCCCUGGCUUUCCGGAUGAUACGCACUCGAGACCUGGUGAGUAAUACCCAAUUCUUUUAGAGAGGUUACAAACAGUUUUGACAUAAAAUUUGAACCUUGAUCUGACUGAAGUACUUUCGGUAAGCCAAAUGUAGAGAAAAACUUGAUCAGGGCCUUAACUACAGUCUUGGCUGUGAUGGUACGGAGGGGAAUAGCCUCCGGAUACCGAGUAGCACUACACAUCACUGUUAAAAGGUAUUGGUUACCACUCCGCGUUCUUGGUAAAGGACCCACACAAUCCACGAUUACCCGUUCGAACGGUUCUCCCAGCACAGGAAUCGGGUGCAGAGGCGCCCGAGGGAUGACCUGGUUCGCUUUUCCUGUUAGUUGGCAUUCAUGACAGGUAUUACAAAAUUCCACAACAUCUGACUUUAGACCUGGCCAGAAAAAGUGGCGAAGGACUCUGUCAUAAGUCUUUGUUAUUCCUAGGUGCCCAGCCCAAGCAGGGUCAUGUGCUAGGGAUAACACUUGCUGUCUGAAUGGUUUAGGGACGACCACCUGCUUGACAACCCCUAAACCCCGAACGUUACCCUGCGCUGCCCACCUGCGCAUAAGAACGCCAGCCUCCAUGAAUUUUCAUUGAAGUGGAAAUACUGGACUGGGCUGGCUCCACGUUCACACGCUCAAGAAUCGAGUCUGACAGGUCCACCUCGUCUCCCAACCUACGGGACUGGGCCCGUGUAAGCACACAAGCUGGGAACACAUGAGGGGCCUGCCUUGGGACGGAGAUUUUAUAAUGAUCGGCGACGGCGAAUAACUCUGACCUGCGC